rnacentral:rRNA from 1 species
AAUGAACGCUGGCGGCGUGCCUAACACAUGCAAGUCGAACGAGAAAGCCCGCAAGGGUGAGUACAGUGGCGCACGGGUGAGUAAUACAUAGGAAUCUGCCUCUGAGUGAAGAAUACCCUAGAGAAAUUUAGGUUAAUACUGCAUAAGCCCAGAAAUGGGGAAAGGUGGCCUCAAGCUACCGCUGAGAGAUGAGCCUAUGGCCUAUUAGCUAGUUGGUAGGGUAAAAGCCUACCAAGGCGAGGAUGGGUAGCCGGCCUGAGAGGGUGUACGGCCACACUGGAACUGAGACACGGUCCAGACUCCUACGGGAGGCAGCAGUGGGGAAUAUUGCACAAUGGGCGCAAGCCUGAUGCAGCCAUGCCGCGUGUAUGAAGAAGGCCUUCGGGUUGUAAAGUACUUUCAGCGGGGAGGAAGGCGAUGUGGUUAAUAACCGCAUUGAUUGACGUUACCCGCAGAAGAAGCACCGGCUAACUCCGUGCCAGCAGCCGCGGUAA